rnacentral:rRNA from 1 species
AUUGAACGCUGGCGGUAUGCUUAACACAUGCAAGUCGAACGGCAGCAUGUCUUUUCUUCGGAAAAGAUGAUGGCGAGUGGCGGACGGGUGAGUAACACGUAGGUAUCUACCUUGUAGUGGGGGACAACUUGGGGAAACUCGAGCUAAUACCGCAUAACCUCUACGGAGUAAAGCUGGGGACCUUUUAGGCCUGGCGCUAUAAGAUGAGCCUGCGGCAGAUUAGCUAGUUGGUGGGGUAAAGGCCUACCAAGGCAACGAUCAAUAGCUGUUCUUAGAGGAAGACCAGCCACAUUGGGACUGAGACACGGCCCAGACUCCUACGGGAGGCAGCAGUGGGGAAUCUUGCACAAUGGGGGAAACCCUGAUGCAGCGAUGCCGCGUGAGUGAAGAAGGCCUUUGGGUUGUAAAACUCUUUCGUCGGGGAAGAAAAUGACUGUACCCGAAUAAGAAGGUCCGGCUAACUUCG